rnacentral:lncRNA from 1 species
AAAAAAAAAAAAAAAAAAAAGAAUCCAUCCACUCGAAUUUCCAAUCCACGAAUCCGAAAAUUUCAACGACCCUUAUGCAUUAUUUAUUUUUCUGCCAGAUAGGAUUCAGGGAAAUUCUCUCGCUCCAAUAAAUUCGUUACUAUACGGAACAUUGAUGAAAAAAAAAAAAAGCAACGCUUCUGAUGCAUUUGCAAACACGAUUCCGUUUUGUUGCUAAUUUUUUUUUUUCGUACACAUUAAUGAAUGCACACACAAUUUUACCGUAAAGUUUUUAUUUUAACGGAAGAAUUCUCAUUUUUCGUUCGAAAUCGAAAACGAAUAUCCUUUUAACGAAAGUACCAAAUAAGAUAAUGUUGAAAGUAUUUCCACAUAAAAAUGAUAAAAUGUAUAAUUUGUAUGUACAUAUAAUUCUUUAAAAUAAAAUUGCAGUUUGGAAU